rnacentral:rRNA from 1 species
UACGUAGGGUGCGAGCGUUGUCCGGAAUUAUUGGGCGUAAAGGGCUCGUAGGCGGUCUGUCGCGUCGGGAGUGAAAACUCAGGGCUUAACCCUGAGCCUGCUUCCGAUACGGGCAGACUAGAGGUAUGCAGGGGAGAACGGAAUUCCUGGUGUAGCGGUGGAAUGCGCAGAUAUCAGGAGGAACACCAAUGGCGAAGGCAGCUCGCUGGGACGGUACUGACGCUGAGGCGCGAAAGCGUGGGGAGCAAACAGG